rnacentral:siRNA from 1 species
UCGGGUCAUAACGGAGGCCUAG